UACGUAGGGCGCAAGCGUUUAUCCGGAAUUAUUGGGCGUAAAAGAGCUCGUAGGCGGUUUUGUCGCGUCUGCCGUGAAAAGUCCGGGGGCUCAACUCCGGAUCUGCGGUGGGUACGGGCAGACUAGAGUGAUGUAGGGGAGACUGGAAUUCCUGGUGUAGCGGUGAAAAUGCGCAGAUAUCAGGAGGAACACCGAUGGCGAAGGCAGGUCUCUGGGCAUGUCCUGACGCUGAGGAGCGAAAGUGUGGGGAGCGAACAGG
rnacentral:rRNA from 1 species